UACGGAGGAUUCAAGCGUUAUCCGGAUUUAUUGGGUUUAAAGGGUGCGUAGGCGGUCGGAUAAGUUAGCGGUGAAAUACCGAUGCUCAACAUCGGGGCUGCCGCUGAUACUGUAGGACUAGAGAUCGGAUGCAGCAGGCGGAAUGUGUAGUGUAGCGGUGAAAUGCAUAGAUAUUACACAGAACACCGAUUGCGAAGGCAGCUUGCUAGGCCGGAUCUGACACUGAUGCACGAAAGCGUGGGGAUCGAACAGG
rnacentral:rRNA from 1 species